rnacentral:lncRNA from 1 species
CACUGUUAGAUAGGCAAUUCAAUAGUUACCGACGAAAGGAGUUCCCCUUCUCUUGGCCAAUUGACGUUCUGCUUCAAUAAGUCAUGACCUUCACUCUCCUCAAGUGAGGAGGGCAUAUUGUUUGACCAACGAAAGACUCACUAGUUCCUUCUUCCCGUUCACUAUUCCUGUAGCCUGAUACGAGUUAUUUAGUUCGUGUCUCCUUGUUCUUGGGAAGAACCGAAGGUUCAUUCGCGGCACUCGUAGACAUAGUUGUAUUUCAGACUCUCUUCUUUCCCUAAAAAGCUAAUAAAUCAAAACAAGAGAAAAGCAGAAGCGAAAGCUCGAGUCGAAGAGUGGAGGUCGCUCGGUAACUCGAGUCGAUCAGUCCCAUUUAUUCUUGCCCGAAACAAGUGGGCUAUUCAUUCUGGUGCCACCUUUGUUCAAUCGAGUCCAUGUUCUCUAUUUCCCAAAACCCAUUCGUUCACCGACCCAUGGACCAGAGGUUUAAAGCUUGGAAUUGAGCUUUCUAGCUUUCUUUAGUACAAUCUUUUUGCGAGAGCAACCCCGGGUUCGUUCCUAAGACUACACUCACAGCUUUCUCUGUUCAUGUUCCGGCAUAGGAGAUCUAGUGGUAGGAUAGGGGACAGAGCUUUAGGGCUGCAGUAAACCUCAUAUGCGCGUGGCUCAUCAUAAGACCUUAGCCUGAUGUCCUACCCAAAGACUUCAAAGGUAGUCACAGGACAACCUUUCCGAGUUCUAACUUCCAAACCUAUAACUUGGUUUGCUUGCCUGCUUCCUAUCUGACCUAUCAAUCAAAGAAAUGUUCUAGUUCCGUGAUACGAGCUUGACUGUCGCUCUGAGACAGUAGUUUUCUUGGUUUGGGGUCCCUUUAUCAAAGGCUCCCUUCCCUACUGAUCAUACAACAAAUGAAGGUGGUUAGAAA